rnacentral:rRNA from 1 species
GCUGGCGGCAGGCCUAACACAUGCAAGUCGAACGGAGUUAUAUUGUAGCUUGCUAUGGUAUAACUUAGUGGCAGACGGGUGAGUAAUGUAUAGGAAUCUACCUAGUAGUACGGAAUAAUUGUUGGAAACGGCAACUAAUACCGUAUACGCCCUACGGGGGAAAAAUUUAUUGCUAUUAGAUGAGCCUAUAUUAGAUUAGCUAGUUGGUGGAGUAAUAGCCUACCAAGGCAAUGAUCUAUAGCUGAUCUGAGAGGAUGAUCAGCCACACUGGAACUGAGAUACGGUCCAGACUCCUACGGGAGGCAGCAGUGGGGAAUAUUGGACAAUGGGCGAAAGCCUGAUCCAGCCAUGCCGCAUGAGUGAAGAAGGCCUUUGGGUUGUAAAGCUCUUUUAGUGAGGAAGAUAAUGACGGUACUCACAGAAGAAGUCCUGGCUAACUCCGUGCCAGCAGCCGCGGUAAUACGGAGAGGGCUAGCGUUAUUCGGAAUUAUUGGGCGUAAAGGGCGCGUAGGCGGAUUAGUAAGUUAAAAGUGAAAUCCCAAGGCUCAACCUUGGAAUUGCUUUUAAGACUGCUAAUCUAGAGAUUGAAAGAGGAUAGAGGAAUUCCUAGUGUAGAGGUGAAAUUCGUAAAUAUUAGGAGGAACACCAGUGGCGAAGGCGUCUAUCUGGUUCAAAUCUGACGCUGAGGCGCGAAGGCGUGGGGAGCAAACAGGAUUAGAUACCCUGGUAGUCCACGCUGUAAACGAUGAAUGUUAAAUAUGGGAAGUUUUACUUUCUGUAUUACAGCUAACGCGUUAAACAUUCCGCCUGGGGACUACGGUCGCAAGAUUAAAACUCAAAGGAAUUGACGGGGA